GACGGAGGGUGCUAGCGUUGUUCGGAAUUACUGGGCGUAAAGAGCGCGCAGGCGGUCAGAUAAGUCGAAUGUGAAAGCCCCCGGCUCAACUGGGGAGGGUCAUUCGAUACUGUUCGACUCGAAGGCAGGAGAGGGAAGCGGAAUUCCCGGUGUAGUGGUGAAAUGCGUAGAUAUCUGGAGGAACACCGGUGGCGAAGGCGGCAUCCUGGAACGACACUGACGCUGAGGAGCGAAAGCCAGGGGAGCAAACGGG
rnacentral:rRNA from 1 species